rnacentral:rRNA from 1 species
AGCAGCCGCGGUAAUUCCAGCUCCAAUAGCGUAUAUUAAAGUUGUUGCAGUUAAAAAGCUCGUAGUUGAAUUUCGGGGUUAGUAGGUUGGUCAUGCCUCUGGUAUGCACUGGCCUCACUGAUUCCUCCUUCCUGAUGAGCCGUAAUGCCAUUAAUUUGGUGUUGCGGGGAAUUUGGACUGUUACUUUGAAAAAAUUGAGUGUUUAAAGCAAGCUAACGCUUGAAUACAUUAGCAUGGAAUAAUGAAAUAGGACGUUCGAUCCUAUUUUGUUGGUUUCUAGGAUUGACGUAAUGAUUAAUAGGGAUAGUUGGGGGCAUUAGUAUUCAAUUGUCAGAGGUGAAAUUCUUGGAUUUAUUGAAGACUAACUACUGCGAAAGCAUUUGCCAAGGAUGUUUUCAUUAAUCAAGAACGAAAGUUAGGGGAUCGAAGACGAUCAGAUACCGUCGUAGUCUUAACCAUAAACCUAUAGCCGACUAGGGAUGGAUGAUGUUUAAUUUUUUAAUGUACUCUAUUCGGCCGU